rnacentral:tRNA from 1 species
GGGGCCGUAGCUCAGAUGGGAGAGCACCUGCUUUGCAAGCAGGGGGUCGUCGGUUCGAUCCCGACCGGCUCCACCA